rnacentral:lncRNA from 10 species
CUGGGUGCGGUGGCUCAGGACUGUAAUUCCAGCUACAUGAGAGGAUUGCCUGAGGCCAGGAGUUUGAGACCAGCCUGAACAACAUACCACAGGUUGAAGAUGACAGUAGAUCCUAAGGAACCUCAGUUCUAUCCCGAAAUGCGAAGGCCUUUUUACUCAACCACAAAGAAGUGGUCAGCAGAAAACUGGUCAUCCCGGCCUCUGGGGCCAUGCACAGCACUCAGGAGGAGCUACUAUUUUCCCUGCCUGUUUACAUGCGG